ensembl:lncRNA
GGGAGAGAGACAGUGGAAAGGAGAGGGGAGAGAGACAGUGGAAAGGAGAGGGGAGAGACAGUGGACAGGAGAGGGGAGAGAGACAGUGGACAGGAGAGGGGAGAGAGACAGUGGAAAGGAGAGGGGAGAGAGACAGUGGAAAGGAGAGGUGAGAGACAGUGGAAAGGAGAGGGGUGAGAGACAGUGGACAGGAGAGGAGAGAGAGACAGUGGAAAGGAGAGAGAGAGACAGUGGAAAGGAGAGAGAGAGACAGUGGAAAGGAGAGGGGAGACAGUGGAAAGGAGAGGGGAGAGAGACAGUGGACAGGAGAGGGGAGAGAGACAGUGGAUAGGAGAGGAGAGAGAGACAGUGGAAAGGAGAGAGGGAGACAAUGGACAGGAGAGGGGAGAGAGACAGUGGACAGGAGAGGGGAGAGAGACAGUGAACAGGAGAGGGGAGAGAGACAGUGGACAGGAGAGGAGAGAAAGACAGUGGACAGGAGAGGAGAGAAAGACAGUGGAAAGGAGAGAGGGAGACAGUGGAAAGGAGAGAGAGAGACAGUGGAAAGGAGCGGGGUGAGAGAGUGGACAGGAGAGGAGAGAGAGACAGUGGAAAGGAGAGAGAGAGACAGUGGAAAGGAGAGGAGAGACAGUGGAAAGGAGAGGGGAGAGACAGUGGACAGGAGAGGGGAGAGAGACAGUGGACAGGAAAGGGGAGAGAGACAGUGAACAGGAGAGGGGAGAGACACAGCGGAAAGGAGAGGGGAGAGAGACAGUGAACAGGAGAGGGGAGAGAGAUAGUGAACAGGAGAGGGGAGAGAGACAGCGGAAAGGAGAGGAGGGAGAGACAGUGGACAGGAGAGGGGAGAGAGACAAUGGACAGGAGAGGGGAGAGAGAGAGUGGACAGGAGAGGG